UGAGCACAAAAGCGAACUAUUCUUAUACCUUUUACUAAAGAAUACCGUGUACGCGCCACAAAUAGCAGCAUACUUUUAUUUUUGGAGGGUGUUUUCUCUUGGAAAAAAUUAUCUCUUUAGAUUAGACUCAAUUUCCAAAGCUAAAUUUGUUAGUUUUGUUUGACACUACUGUACGCACAGUUUUGGAGGGUGUUUUCUCUCGUAGGAAUACAAAUCAAAGUUCAAGAUCUAUCUUUUAAAAUUCAAGCUCAAAGUUAAGUUUGCUAGUUUUGUUUGACAGAUGAUGUGGUUGGCCUGCUAAUCAUGCUAGUUAGGGAUGGCAAAAAUGAGCUACUCAAUGACAAACCAUUGUCAACUGCAGUAAGUUCACCAUAAAAAACAAUAGGAAAUGCACAUGAUUUCAGUAAUCCUCUAUCGAGCACAAGUUACAAGUACAGGAUCAUAUCAAGAUAUUGCCGCUAUUAUUUUUCUGAGAAAAAAACUGCAAAUAUAUGUGCUGUAUUGCUGCAGAGGAAAAUAUAACUGAUCCAGCAAUGCAAAAGAAAUGUCCACCCCAAUUCAUUCACCUCAGACCAUGGAGCAGCUUGUCUCUCUCCAAGACUUCAUUUUUAUUAUCUUUAUAGCUACUUAGUUCUAGGGACAGCCUCAUGUUGUUCUGGUCGAACUAAGAUAAACAAUAAGACAAUGUUUGGCUAAUGAGAUAGCGAAAUGAUUUUCCACC